UCGAGGCGCGGGCGGCGCGCAGCACCGCGGCGAUCUCCACGGGAUGGUGGCCGUAGUCGUCGAAGAUGGUGACACCGUUCCACUCGCCCGUCUUGGU
rnacentral:tRNA from 3 species